CCAAGUUUUGAACUUAGUACGAGAAAAAAAAAGAAAAAAUUCAUACAUAGCUACAAUCCAAAUACUAUCCUGUGUACUUCGCAAAAUCUUUAUUACUUUUUUUAUUUUAUUUUUUUAGAAUGGAAUUAUAUCUCUAUACUCGUUACGACUCAAAAUUAGAGUUUUGUGGAAUUAUAAAAGUUACAAACACCCUUGAGAUUGAAGGGAGCCAAAACACAGCACAUAUGAGUAAGGAACAAGGUUUAGGUUGGGAGUGUUUUGGAUUUGAGUCUCAAUACAGGGGACUCCAGAAUAAGAACGGUUAUCGAGGAACCAUAAAUAAAUGAAUUCAGUAACUUCGAUCAAUCCGUAGCAUACGUGUGGAGUUCACGAAGUAUGUUUGACUCUACUGUAAGGUAUAGCAUUGUUCGAUAAAGUAUGAUCUAUAAAGUGUUAUUAUAAAUAUGCAUGUAAAAUCAUGUUCUCUCUGCGGCNAUGUUUGACUCUACUGUAAGGUAUAGCAUUGUUCGAUAAAGUAUGAUCUAUAAAGUGUUAUUAUAAAUAUGCAUGUAAAAUCAUGUUCUCUCUGCGGCACACAAAAGUAGAAGUACGUAAUAGGAGCUCCUGCUUUCGCAUCUUAAGAUACAAUUUUUUAUAUUUAUUACGGCGGCGCAAGAUUCAAACUUUUCUAUUUGUCAAGCGCUCUUCUAAAGAUAUAUAGGAGGAGGAGAAGAAGGGCAGGCGGAAGGAGCACACUCACA
rnacentral:lncRNA from 1 species